GACGUAGGGCGCGAGCGUUGUCCGGAUUUACUGGGCGUAAAGGGCUCGUAGGCGGCCAACUAAGUCGGACGUGAAAUCCCUCAGCUUAACUGGGGAACUGCGUCCGAUACUGGAUGGCUUGGAUUUGGGAGAGGGAUGCGGAAUUCCAGGUGUAGCGGUGAAAUGCGUAGAUAUCUGGAGGAACACCGGUGGCGAAGGCGGCUCACUGGAUCGGUACUGACGCUGAGGCGCGAAAGCGUGGGGAGCAAACGGG
rnacentral:rRNA from 1 species